CAUAAAUCAAGAGAGAAGUCCAGGAGCAGAGCAUUCUAUCCCUCCUGGAGAUGGUCAUGUUGGGAGGUAUGAAAUUAUGGUAUGUCGGACGCUUUAAGAUGAAGUAGGGCUGCCGGAGAGAAGGGGUGGAAGACAGCCAGAUCAAAAGAGUUGUCAGUAGCACCCCUAGAUUGACAGAGCACCUCUGGAGGGCACAGGAGCCCCUAUUUGAUCAGACACAGUGUAGACAGAGCACGCUUGGAGGACACAGCAGCCCCUGUAUGGGCAAACAAAGCAUGAACAGAGCAUCCCUGAAGGACAAUGCAGCUCCAACCCCUUGACACAGCAUGGAUACGUCUGCUCACUACAAGCUCCACAGUGUGAAGAAGUGAAAAGUGAUGAUGGCACAAUUACUGGGUACCUUUAUAACAUCUAAAACUCAGGAGAAUCUGACAGCAGGUAGAUGGCAUUUUGUCUCAUUUUGGUAUCUGAGUCAAGUGGGAAAACCCGAGCCAGACUCAGAUCCCGGCCCAGUAGUUCGGAGAACCAGACCCACUCAUCUCUAAUCCUUUUAUAUAUUCUGGAUUUAUACAUAAUGUAUUAUCAAAUUAAUGAAUUGAGUAUAUGUUCGCCUACUAUAUGAUUGAGUGGAUGGAGAUGUACUCCUGAAUAUAGAUAUGGUAUAUAUUUCUUUGUGUGUUAUUUCUCUGUAUUGUCGCUAUAUUUUACGUUAGGUUUUAUUGAAAGAGUGUCCCACAAAGUAAUUUUCUUUUCUCUGUAGUGUUUCCAUGACAUAUAAUCCAUUUUGUGAAUGCAUUUGCAUAGGGCAGGCAACCUGUGGGUCUCCAGCUGUUAUGGAUACCUGCCACAGUUGUAGCAUGCCCUAAAAGCAAAUUGUGUCAGCCUUGCCACAGGUUGCCUAACCCUGGCAUACUGUAGGGGUUUCAGGUUGCUGCUUGCCCUUUAAUUCUUUAUCUCCUACCAGUAUUUAUAGUCACAAUUUUGCAUAUCCUACAUGGAUUCAAGAAUUUAUGUGCAAAUACACAAUUUUAUAUACAGUAUCUACUCUUAUGAUAAGAUUUUUAUGUUAAAAAAGAUAAAAUGCACCAUAUAUAUUUUAUGUAUUUGUGUUAUAUGUUCUUGGAUUACAACAUCAAGGAUUCAGAUAUUGAAGCACUUUUUGCUUUAUGGGAUAUUGGAUUCUGCAUUUAAAUUUUUCAUUUGGAUUUUAUCACUACUGUAUACAGUAUGUGUAUUGUGUCAGUAAUGUUCUAUUUCUUUAUUUGAAUUGUUUCAUUCAGUGUUCUGUAGUUAGUGGCCUUUUUGUAAGUAUAUUUGCAGCUUGGGCAAAGUGAUGUUACUUGUUUUUAUUUGAACUGCCUGUAUUUUUAGUUAUUUACAGUACUGUACCAUUUAUAUAACUGUGAAUGAGUACAUAAUAUGAAUAAAAAAAUACAAUGAUAAAAGUAUAAAACAAUAAAGUAAAAUAACACCAUAAAAAGUUACUUAAAACAAAAAAGAAGUAAGGAAGAAAGAGAAAAAUUCACAUCAUUUUACAAAUCAGUUUAUGUGGUAAACAGAUAUUAAACAGAUCAUUAAUUUCAUAUUGAUUCACAGAAAAUAAACAUAUUUAAACAUUAAUGCACUCAUUGAUUAACACACUAGUUUCCACUACCCACCUUUUCCCUCAGCUUCUUAUUAGGUGAACCACAUAAGAGGCUGGCUGUAAUGCCGUAUGAGUUUGGCGGCCGUGCGGGAUACCAGCAGAACUGCAGUUACUUACAAGGCAAAACCAUACCUUGUAAGUGACUGCCCCUUUAAAAAAAAGUCUGAGUUCAACCAACAUCCUGCACGUAGGCUAAACUAGGGCUGCAUUACAUCCUGUCCCUGGUUUGCAAAUAUGCUAAUUUCAGCCUUACUGCCUUUUCAACACAUAUUUCCACUAGGGAUUUCUUAAAAUAGAAUUCCAACAUCUUUUAAAGUACUUUUGUAAAUUGGUGUGCUGACCAGUUUAUUUAAAUGGGAAGCACAAACAUAUGGGACUAUUAUGAUCUAAUACAGUGGUUCCUUACUGGUGGUACAUACAAUUAGUAAGAGUUUGUUUAUUUAAGUUAGACUACCAACUAUACAGCUUUGAAGGUUUACUAUGCAAUCAGAGAUCUAGUAAUGCCAGAUGGGCAGUGACCUGAAAUUAUUGUUCAACAUCACUGCUGAGAUGCAACCAACUGUACUGCCUCUCCUUCCAAGGUAUCACACCAUGUACUUUAUCCUUUUACUCCCUGACUGCAAUGCUCAACGACCCUCAUAACAUUCAGAUACCCUCUCAUAGGUCACAGUGACCAAGACUACCACACACAAGGCAGUUCUUUCUAAGAAGAGCACCUACAGAGUGUCAAAUUGCAGCUACCUGCCAUCAGCAACUGCACUGUCCCCAUUUCUGGUUACCUAUUAGCAACAAUGCACCAAGCCAGAGUCCAGUGGCUUAUAAACAGCAGCAGCACUUUGGCCACAUACAUGUAACUUAUCACUUGAUUGGGUCAACUGAGCACUUGGUUAAAUUAUUUCCACAGCAUGGCUCUCAUGUUAGGUGAGCCAUUAACAGCAGUUAAGAUUCAUUACAAAUGUCAUACCAACGCCUAUGAAAGAUGCCAGCUCUUUAACACCUUCUACUCUGGGUAAUUGUUUGUGAUUUUAUAUCAGUGGCUGCAUUUAUCUAGUUAUAUUUUCCAAGACAAUUUUUGUUUUUUUAGAGGAAGAUCUAUGUGAAGGGGCCAGUAAGAGCUAUUGAGAGGGCAAUGUGCUAUAUAGAAUUAAUGUCACAAAUGUAUACAUGUUUAUAAAUUCAUACACUCUGAAAUUGAAUAUAUUUCAGAAAGUAUAUUAACUAAGAGUUUGUUUUGGUGACAUCCAUAUAUUUAGGUGGACAAAAAUCAAACAGUUUACCGGACCACUUUUUAGUUCAUUCUUGUUAAAUUUACAAAAUAGAUUCCAAAGAAGAUCUGUUCUCUACCACUAAACAUCACAAGAUACAAUCUGUAGCAAACUGAUUCCAAACAAUAAAUAUAUACAUUUUAAUAAAGUUUAUAGACAUAUAACAUACCCAACAUCAACAAGUUUAAUUUAUCUAGUGCAAAAAAUAUCAACUUAAAAAAUGUAACCUCCUGUUUUGAAUAUAUUGUAUUGAAUAUCUCUCAUGCAGAUUUACACAUUUGUCAGCUGUAUGGCUUAAACCUAACUGCUAAAAGUGGAUUUGUAAACCUAGUCACAAUGCAUUUUAUUAGCAGCUUUGUAUUAUAU